rnacentral:tRNA from 1 species
GGUAAAAUGGCUGAGUAAAGCAUUAGGCUGUAAAUCUAAGCACAGGGGAUAAUCCCCAUUUUACCA